AUUGAACGCUGGCGGCAGGCUUAACACAUGCAAGUCGAGCGGAGAGAGGUAGCUUGCUACUGAUCUUAGCGGCGGACGGGUGAGUAAUGCUUAGGAAUCUGCCUAUUAGUGGGGGACAACAUUUCGAAAGGAAUGCUAAUACCGCAUACGUCCUACGGGAGAAAGCAGGGGAUCUUCGGACCUUGCGCUAAUAGAUGAGCCUAAGUCGGAUUAGCUAGUUGGUGGGGUAAAGGCCUACCAAGGCGACGAUCUGUAGCGGGUCUGAGAGGAUGAUCCGCCACACUGGGACUGAGACACGGCCCAGACUCCUACGGGAGGCAGCAGUGGGGAAUAUUGGACAAUGGGCGCAAGCCUGAUCCAGCCAUGCCGCGUGUGUGAAGAAGGCCUUAUGGUUGUAAAGCACUUUAAGCGAGGAGGAGGCUACUUUAGAUAAUACCUAGAGAUAGUGGACGUUACUCGCAGAAUAAGCACCGGCUAACUCUGUGCCAGCCGCCGCAGUAA
rnacentral:rRNA from 1 species